UUCUCCUCGACCGCUCACUGCGCCACUUCACCAGCAAGAGUCAAUUCCGUGUCGAUUCGAUCAGCUAACGUAACUUUUGGAGCUAUCAAGUCGUGCAGUUGCGCCGUCGUAGCCGCGAAGGGGCGUUAGCGACGGCACCAACUAGCGUGAAUAAACAUUGACCAAGCACCGCGCUCCAACAACUUACCGCAACAUUCUUAGCGUAAAAGUUAACGUGGAUGGUUUACUCUAUGUAAUUUGCGAGGACUGAGUUGCGCAUACUAAGUUUCCCUAUCGAAAAUAUAACAGUGCGAACGACUAUAACGAAAUUCGACUUUACUACUUGUGAUGAUGUGUGAUACUGAUGUUUCGACUAAUGUUUUUGCUGGUUUGAAUGGAUAUUGGGAGUAAUUGCGCAA